rnacentral:rRNA from 1 species
UACGUAGGGAGCAAGCGUUGUCCGGAAUCAUUGGGCGUAAAGAGCGCGUAGGUGGCUUUAUAAGUCCGUUGUGAAAGUCAAAGGCUCAACCUUUGAAAGCCGAUGGAUACUGUGAAGCUAGAGUACGGAAGAGGCGAGUGGAAUUCCUGGUGUAGCGGUGGAAUGCGCAGAUAUCAGGAGGAACACCGGUGGCGAAGGCGGGUCUCUGGGCCGAUAUUGACGCUGAGGAGCGAAAGCGUGGGGAGCAAACAGG